CCUACGGGGGGCAGCAGUGGGGAAUAUUGCACAAUGGGGGGAACCCUGAUGCAGCAACGCCGCGUGGGUGAAGAAGUACUCCGGUAUGUAAAGCCCUGUCAGCAGGGAAGAAAAUGACGGUACCUGACCAAGAAGCCCCGGCUAACUACGUGCCAGCAGCCGCGGUAAUACGUAGGGGGCAAGCGUUAUCCGGAUUUACUGGGUGUAAAGGGAGCGUAGACGGCAAGGCAAGUCUGGAGUGAAAGCCCGGGGCUCAACCCUGGUACUGCUCUGGAAACUGUAAAGCUGGAGUGCGGGAGGGGCAGGCGGAAUUCCUGGUGUAGCGGUGAAAUGCGUAGAUAUCAGGAGGAACACCGGCGGCGAAGGCGGCCUGCUGGACCGUAACUGACGUUGAGGCUCGAAAGCGUGGGGAGCAAACAGGAUUAGAUACCCCAGUAGUC
rnacentral:rRNA from 1 species